GACGAACGCUGGCGGCGUGCUUAACACAUGCAAGUCGAACGGAAAGGCCCUGCUUUUGUGGGGUGCUCGAGUGGCGAACGGGUGAGUAACACGUGAGUAACCUGCCCUUGACUUUGGGAUAACUUCAGGAAACUGGGGCUAAUACCGGAUAGGAGCUCCUGCUGCAUGGUGGGGGUUGGAAAGUUUCGGCGGUUGGGGAUGGACUCGCGGCUUAUCAGCUUGUUGGUGGGGUAGUGGCUUACCAAGGCUUUGACGGGUAGCCGGCCUGAGAGGGUGACCGGCCACCUUGGGACUGAGAUACGGCCCAGACUCCUACGGGACGCAGCAGUGGGGAAUAUUGCACAAUGGGCGGAAGCCUGAUGCAGCAACGCCGCGUGCGGGAUGACGGCCUUCGGGUUGUAAACCGCUUUCGCCUGUGACGAAGCGUGCGUGACGGUAAUGGGUAAAGAAGCACCGGCUAACUACGUG
rnacentral:rRNA from 1 species